rnacentral:rRNA from 1 species
UAGAGUUUGAUCAUGGCUCAGGAUGAACGCUAGCGGGAGGCUUAACACAUGCAAGUCGAGGGGUAAAUGGCAGCAAUGCUAUGAGACCGGCGGACGGGUGCGUAACGCGUAUGCAACAUACCUUGUGCAGGGGGAUAGCCCGCGGAAACGCGGAUUAAUAUUCCAUAGUCCAGCUAUAUCGCAUGGUAUAGUUGGUAAAGAUUUAUCGGCACAAGUUUGGCAUGCGUCUGAUUAGCUUGUUGGUAGGGUAACGGCCUACCAAGGCUACGAUCAGUAGGGGUUCUGAGAGGAUUAACCCCCACACUGGUACUGAGACACGGACCAGACUCCUACGGGAGGCAGCAGUGAGGAAUAUUGGUCAAUGGGCGGAAGCCUGAACCAGCCAUCCCGCGUGAAGGAAGACAGCCUUACGGGUUGUAAACUUCUUUUCUGUCAGAAGAAUAAGCUUGUCGAGACGAGUGAUGCCGGUAUGACAGGAAUAAGCAUCGGCUAACUCCGUGCCAGCAGCCGCGGUAAUACGGAGGAUGCAAGCGUUAUCCGGAUUUAUUGGGUUUAAAGGGUGCGCAGGUUGUUUGAUAAGUCAGUGGUGAAAGUCUGUCGCUUAACGGUAGGAUUGCCAUUGAUACUGUUGGACUUGAAUAUGGAUGAGGUAGGCGGAAUGUGUAGUGUAGCGGUGAAAUGCAUAGAUAUUACACAGAACACCGAUUGCGAAGGCAGCUUACUAAUCCAUCAUGACGC